rnacentral:rRNA from 1 species
UACCAGCACCCCCGAGUGGUCGGGACGAUUAUUGGGCCUAAAGCAUCCGUAGCCGGUCAUGCAAGUCCUCCGUUAAAUCCACCUGCUUAACAGAUGGGCUGCGGAGGAUACUACAAGGCUAGGAGGCGGAAGAGGCAAGCGGUACUCAGUGGGUAGGGGUAAAAUCCUCUGAUCCAUUGAAGACCACCAGUGGCGAAGGCGGCUUGCCAAUACGCGCUCGACGGUGAGGGAUGAAAGCUGGGGGAGCAAACCGG